rnacentral:rRNA from 1 species
AACGAACGCUGGCGGCAGGCCUAACACAUGCAAGUCGAGCGAACCCUUCGGGGUUAGCGGCGGACGGGUUAGUAACGCGUGGGAAUAUACCCUUUGGUACGGAAUAGCCUCGGGAAACUGAGAGUAAUACCGGUAUGUGCCCUUCGGGGGAAAGAUUUAUCGCCAAAGGAUUAGCCCGCGUUGGAUUAGAUAGUUGGUGGGGUAAUGGCCUACCAAGUCUACGAUCCAUAGCUGGUUUGAGAGGAUGAUCAGCAACACUGGGACUGAGACACGGCCCAGACUCCUACGGGAGGCAGCAGUGGGGAAUAUUCCGCAAUGGGGGAAACCCUGACGGAGCGACACCGCGUGGAGGAUGACGACUUUUUAGUUGUAAACUCCUGUCCUGAGGGAAGAAAUUUUUGACUGUACCUCAGAAGAAAGCACCGGCUAAUUCUGUG